GACGUAGGUGGCGAGCGUUGUUCGGAAUCACUGGGCAUAAAGCGCGCGUAGGCGGCUAAGUCAGUCGGGUGUGAAAGCCCUCGGCUCAACCGAGGAACUGCGCCCGAUACUGCUUGGCUUGAGGUCCGGAGGGGAGAGUGGAAUUCCCGGUGGAGCGGUGAAAUGCGUAGAGAUCGGGAAGAACGCCGGCGGCGAAAGCGACUCUCUGGUCGGAAUCUGACGCUGAGGCGCGAAAGCUAGGGGAGCAAACGGG
rnacentral:rRNA from 1 species